UACGUAGGGUGCGAGCGUUAAUCGGAAUUACUGGGCGUAAAGCGUGCGUAGGCGGUUUCGCAAGUCCGCUGUGAAAGCCCCGGGCUUAACCUGGGAAUGGCAGUGGAAACUAUGGGACUUGAAUCUGGCAGAGGGGGGUGGAAUGCCACGUGUAGCAGUGAAAUGCGUAGAGAUGUGGCGGAACACCGAUGGCGAAGGCAGCCCCCUGGGCUAGCACUGACGCUGAUACACGAAAGCGUGGGGAGCAAACAGG
rnacentral:rRNA from 1 species